rnacentral:other from 1 species
GGGUUCCUGUGAUGGCCGAUACCGGGCCUAUGCAUUCUUGACCCUACAAUCAUGCGCCUCAGGGGAGGUGCUGUAGUGCCGUUGGUGUGCAUGUCCGCCCUGUGCGGAAAGCCUAAGGCGUCAUUCGACCUCCCCGACCUGAACCAAAGGGUUCAAGGGCGUUGCCCGAACGGCAUUGCGGGAAUCCA